GGUGCAGCAUUUCUUAAGACUGACACCUACUGUACACGUUUUGAUGAUGGCAUAUUCUUGACAGUGGAAGGUUUUCAGACAACAGGUAGCAUGUUUCUUUUCCAUAUGGUGCUCAUGUGAUCUGCUGACAGAAACAUGGAGAUUACAGUUGCCAAGUCAUCCCACCAGGAAUUACCACUGAGUUUGUACAUGUUCAGGCAGUGACAACACAUCUCAACCUCCAUCUGGCCAACCAUGAUUAUAAAAAGCCUUUCAUUGUAAGAUGUGUCUGGACUUCAGUGAUGUUACAAUGCAAAAUGUGAAUUUGGCAUCAGUGAAAUACAGAAUUCACUGGAGAGAAUUCGCCCUUCUCUCCAAGUCCUGCUAGAAGAACGCUAGGGAGUUUUUCUUCUACACAGGAACUCUUAUUGUCAAUGACCAUUCUGUUUCAAAAUAAAAAACAACACUUGGGUUCCAAUUACAACUGCACAGAGAGCGUUCAAAGGCCAUUCAUUGCCCCCCAGGUCAUUCUGAGCCACACUCAAGUUUGAGAACCACCGUUUUACUCAAUGUGUGGGGGCAGAAAUUCACCGUGGACUGGACAUUUUGCUUCGCUGGAAAAUCAAAUCCAAGCCAAGACUACUGAUGCAUCAAGGAAAAGAGGAAGUCAUCCUUUCAUUGGGCUUAUCACCAGGAAACCAGGGGCUCAGGGCUCAGGGGCUGGCCUGCCUCUUCAGCAAAGAAGAAAUAGAAGAACUGGAAAAGUGGCAGAAGAGGAGGCUGGAUUAGAAGACAAGUAGAUGAUAUGAAAAGAGGAGGAGUUCAGGAAGGAAACCUCGAUGGCGGAAGAAUAAAACACGUCAGAAACUACAGAUGUUUAAACACACUUUCCCAACCUACUGCCAUGGGACUUGACCUGGUCAUUGGCUGUGACCAAUGGAGUGUGCACGGAGGUCCUUUGUGCCGUGGUUGAGCAGAGGCUUUGAAAGCGAUUGCUGGUUCGGCCAUUCUUCUUUCCCUCCACCACAUCCCAACUGGGACUUUCUUCAGCCUGGAUUCUGGAAUGAAAACACAUAAUGCAGAGCAGAGCUGCAGUCAGCCCCCAGACAACUUACAAU